UACGUAGGUGGCAAGCGUUAUCCGGAAUUAUUGGGCGUAAAGCGCGCGCAGGUGGUUCGUCGCGUCGUGCGUGAAAGACCCCGGCUCAACUGGGGGAGGUCGUGCGAUACGGGCGAACUGGAGGCCAGUAGGGGGAUGCGGAAUUCCGGGUGUAGUGGUGGAAUGCGUAGAGAUCCGGAGGAACACCAGCGGCGAAGGCGGCAUCCUGGACUGGUCCUGACACUCAUGAGCGAAAGCGUGGGGAGCGAUCCGG
rnacentral:rRNA from 1 species